rnacentral:lncRNA from 1 species
CUCGAUUCGAAACCCAACACUGACGUUCUACCGGUGUAUCUAAUUUUGAAACGUAAAGAAGGAAACGAGAAGAUACAUCGCGGAACUAUUAUUUUAACGUGUUAUAUCUAUUCAUCACCAGAAGAGACACAUCUGCACCGUCGGAUGCUCCUGAAUCAGUUGUGAACUAUCCUUCCCGCGAGACUAAAAUUUAAAACGUUCAACUUCUCAAGAUGUUCGUUGAGAAAUGCUACUCCCACCCACCGAUUAUCAUCGUUAAGAAAUUCAAAUCCAGAAUUUUCAGCUUCGAAGAAACAUUAUUUCAGUUCGCAAAGAAGUAAAUCAAGAGAGCACUUUUCCUUUCGAGAGUCACCGCACUUCUGUAUGAAGCAGUAAACACCUAAAAUCAGAAUCCAUAGUUUCACAUACGGAUGCAAAAUGUCUGCAGCAUCUAUGACGAUGAAGUGCCAAGAAGAAAAAGAAAACCGUAAACAAAGCAACGAACGAAAUUAGUUGACAACCUAAUAGAAACAUAUAACGAAUUCCUCGGCAGAACCAACAGAGCGUAGGAACUUAAUUUGUAGAAUACCCUGCCAGAAUCAGUAGGAUGCAAGGGCAAUGUGCAUGUAGCAUUCUUAUGCAUGUGGGGUCGGGUGCAAAAAAUAUACACCAGUCAAUGACAGGAAGGAUAUUAUAAGCGGCAAUAACGGUACUUUCUAAAAUGUCCGGUCAAGCUAGGUAAUAUAUUGGACAUGCUCCACUGCAUCCAGCAUUUGUUAAUAUUCUCUCCUGGCGGAUGACAAACUGCACCACUCAAGGGACAACUCCUCUAACCAAUUCUGUCCUGCAGGGUUUUCCUCAUACGACGUACCUAUAAAGGGAGUCGAGGCACUUUCCCGGAGGAGAGAAUUUGAUGGAUCUGUUUGGAUAGUCGUUAUUACCAGGUGGGUUUUUUUUAUGAGGGCGGAGUAUAAAUCGUCUCUAAACACCUUUUAGUCGCCUUUUACGACACACAGAGGAAACACUGGAUCUAUACUUUCACAUAACAUUCCCCUCUCAGUUCCUUAAAAGAAUCUUCAAAUAUUCACAAAAAUUCACAAAAUAUGACACAGUCCUAAAUUAUGCAUCAUUUCGAAAUUUACAUAUUUAUGUUAUGACUUGCAGUAUAUGUUCUGGCUCUUUACAUCCUGUGUUCAAAUCGUACAGAGAUCAGUAUAUGAGACAGAGA